rnacentral:rRNA from 1 species
CUUGGAGGAACGUAUAGCGAAAGCUAGUUGCAUUUAAUUUAGCGAAAGCUAAAUUGGUGCAGAAUUGAUUCUAUCAAAUAAAGUUCUAGAUAGGUUAUGAUGAUGACAUUUCCUAUCUAUGUGUCUUGACCAAAUUACGUGCCAGCAGUCGCGGUAAUACGUAGAAGACUAGUGUUAUUCAUCUUUAAUAGGUUUAAAGGGUACCUAGACGGUAAAUCCAGUCCAAAAAGGAUACUAAUUUGCUAGAGUUUAAUGUGAGGGGGCACUAAAGUACUGAUAAGUGUAGAGAUGAAAUUCUGUGAUACAAUAUAAGGACAGGUAAAGGCGAAAGCAUCUCAUUAUGUAAUAACUGACGUUGAGGGACGAAGGCUAGGAGAAGCAAAAAGGAUUAGAUACCCAAGUAGUCUUAGCAGAAAAUUAUGAAUGUCAUAGGAUGGAAAUAGUGGAUAACCAUUUUUUUUCUAUAAAUGAAAGUGUAAGCAUUCCACCUCGAGAGUAAUUUGGCAACAUUGGAACUGAAAUCAUUAGACCGUUUCUGAAACAAGUAGUGAAGUAUGUUGUUUAAUUUGAUGGUCCGCAAAAAACCUUACCACAAUUUGAAUAGAAAUUUUUAUUUUAUACAAGCGCUGCACGGUUGUCUCCAGUUAAUGUCGUGAGAUCUUGGUUAGUUCCAUUAAAUUAACGUAAACCCUUACUUUAUUUAUAUAUAGAGUAGUUCACCGCUAGAUUGGAUGUGAUAACAGGGA